rnacentral:rRNA from 1 species
GACAGAGGGUGCAAACGUUGUUCGGAAUUACUGGGCGUAAAGCGCGUGUAGGCGGCCCUGCAAGUCGGGUGUGAAAUCCCACGGCUCAACCGUGGAACUGCUGGGCAUACUGGCGAUCUUGGGCCAACUAGGGGCAGCCGGAACAAGCGGUGGAGCGGUGAAAUGCGUAGAUAUCGCUUGGAGCGCCGAAGGUGAAAACAGGCUGCUGGGGUUGUGCCGACGCUGAGACACGAAAGCCAGGGGAGCAAACGGG